GACGGUGGAUGGCAACGAUGUGAAGGAACUCAACUUAAAAUGGCUUCGAAGUCAAAUAGGUGUCGUUUCUCAAGAGCCUGUAUUAUUUGAUUUAUCAAUAAGAGACAACAUUGCCUUCGGUGAUACGACGAGGAAAAUUACUGAUAAAGAAGUGGAAAAAGCCGCAAGGGAGGCGAAUAUUCACCAAUUUAUAUCUUCAUUGCCAAAGGUAAUAAUUCGUCAACACUCAGUUCAAUUAGAAGCGCCUACAUUUUAUAGUCGCAUUCACUGAAGACGAAACUGGUAUUUUGUCUUAUUCUGCGUCACAGGCUGUCGGGGAGCAUAGCAAUAUCAGAUAGAAUGCGUACUCCUAUCUCUACGAAGUAAAAUUUUUGUCUCCACAAAAUGGCGGAUUUAUAUUAAACCGAGUGACAUCAUAACAUGACGUCAUAACAUGAUCUCAUAACGUAAUGGGAUAUCCUUGCACAUUCAUUUAGGGCUACCACACAACACAAUCGUUGGUGAUAAAGGAACAUUGGUAUCUGGUGGACAAAAACAAAGGAUCGCAAUUGCCCGGGCUUUGAUCAGAGAUCCUAGAAUACUACUAUUGGAUGAAGCGACAUCUGCACUGGAUACAGAGAGUGAGAAGGU